rnacentral:rRNA from 1 species
UACGUAGGGUGCAAGCGUUAAUCGGAAUUACUGGGCGUAAAGCGUGCGCAGGCGGUUUUGUAAGUCUGUCGUGAAAUCCCCGGGCUCAACCUGGGAAUGGCAAUGGAGACUGCAAGGCUAGAGUUUGGCAGAGGGGGGUAGAAUUCCACGUGUAGCAGUGAAAUGCGUAGAUAUGUGGAGGAACACCGAUGGCGAAGGCAGCCCCCUGGGUCAAAACUGACGCUCAUGCACGAAAGCGUGGGGAGCAAACAGG